rnacentral:rRNA from 1 species
AUUGCCUCAGUAACGGCGAGUGAAGCGGCAACAGCUCAAAUUUGAAAUCUGGCCCCAGGCCCGAGUUGUAAUUUGCAGAGGAUGCUUUUGGCGAGGUGCCUUCCGAGUUCCCUGGAACGGGACGCCAUAGAGGGUGAGAGCCCCGUCUGGUCGGACACCGAGCCUCUGUAAAGCUCCUUCGACGAGUCGAGUAGUUUGGGAAUGCUGCUCUAAAUGGGAGGUAUAUGUCUUCUAAAGCUAAAUACCGGCCAGAGACCGAUAGCGCACAAGUAGAGUGAUCGAAAGAUGAAAAGCACUUUGGAAAGAGAGUUAAAUAGCACGUGAAAUUGUUGAAAGGGAAGCGUUUACGACCAGACUUGGGCCGGUUGAUCAUCCAGCGUUCUCGCUGGUGCACUCUGCCGGCCCAGGCCAGCAUCAGUUCGCCCCGGGGGAUAAAGGCGGCGGGAAUGUGGCUCCUCGGAGUGUUAUAGCCCGCCGCGCAAUACCCUGAGGUGGACUGAGGUUCGCGCUCUGCAAGGAUGCUGGCGUAAUGGUCGUCAACGACCCGUCUUGAAACACGGACCAAGGAGUCGUCUUCGUAUGCGAGUGUUCGGGUGUAAAACCCCUACGCGUAAUGAAAGUGAACGCAGGUGAGAGCUUCGGCGCAUCAUCGACCGAUCCUGAUGUUCUCGGAUGGAUUUGAGUAAGAGCAUACGGGGCCGGACCCGAAAGAAGGUGAACUAUGCCUGUAUAGGGUGAAGCCAGAGGAAACUCUGGUGGAGGCUCGCAGCGGUUCUGACGUGCAAAUCGAUCGUCAAAUAUGGGCAUGGGGGCGAAAGACUAAU